GAUGAACGCUGGCGGCGUGCCUAAUACAUGCAAGUCGAGCGAACGGACGAGAAUCUUGCUUCUCUGAUGUUAGCGGCGGACGAGUGAGUAACACGUGGAUAACCUACCUAUAAGACUGGGAUAACUUCGGGAAACCGUAGCUAAUACCGGAUAAUAUUUUGAACCGCAUGGUUCAAAAGUGAAAGACGGUCUUGCUGUCACUUAUAGAUGGAUCCGCGCUGCAUUAGCUAGUUGGUAAGGUAACGGCUUACCAAGGCAACGAUGCAUAGCCGACCUGAGAGGGUGAUCGGCCCCACUGGAACUGAGACACGGUCCAGACUCCUACGGGAGGCAGCAGUAGGGAAUCUUCCGCAAUGGGCGAAAGCCUGACGGAGCAACGCCGCGUGAGUGAUGAAGGUCUUCGGAUCGUAAAACUCUGUUAUUAAGGAAGAACAUAUGUGUAAGUAACUGUGCACAUCUUGACGGUACCUAAUCAGAAAGCCACGGCUAACUACGUG
rnacentral:rRNA from 1 species